rnacentral:tRNA from 1 species
AAUGGAUCUUGACCCUCCCCUCUUGAAACAGAACCCCACGGCCGGGAAUUCAUGGAAUCUCCGUGGGUGGACAUCUCUAGGGGUUAUCGUCUCUACAUUUAUGAAGAACAUCCACUUGUACGUGCCUACACUCAGCAGUUCGAUUUCCAACCUAACUAGGAGGGAUGCCUCGUUAUGCUUUUCAUUUCUUUUCCGUGGUUGGAAAUUCCUUCCCGGGUCCAUCUCUUAGCUGAUAAGCACCCCAGGUAUCGCGUAAUCUCGAAAAUACUUCCUAGGGUUUGAAGUGUUUUGUUUCAUUCUUUUCUCUUUACUUUCAACAUCUCCAGAGGAAUAAGAAGUUCAAGGGGUUGUGACCACAAUGUGAACAAGAGAAAUUCUGAGAACAAAACAAAAACGGAGACGACCACGAAGGGACUCGAACCCUCAAUCUUCUGAUCCGGAAUCAGACGCCUUAUCCAUUAGGCCACGCGGCCUCUUACGUAGGUAUCCUUUUGCUUUCCCUAUAGAAAAGAGAGAGGGCGGGGCCAUUCCUCUUGCCCUUGAUUCCAUGAGUAGUUUCCCGUGUCUGUGCAUGUCGACCGCAGGAUCCGAGCCCCAGCUUGGAAAAAACUGCUAUUUCCUUCACUCAGACCCUUUUUGGAAAACUGGAAGGCGGAAGGCUCAGGCUGGCAGCUAGGAAUCUAGGUUUGUGCCUGGAUUCCUUCGUCUCUAAAGGGCCAAGAGCGAAAUGGCGAGUACAGGUCGCAGCCAACCACGCUCACCAAGAGAAGCCCGAGGCUAUGGGAUGCUCAACACAAGGGAGCUGCAGCCCCACCACCCCGCUCUCCGACAGAACAGAACAAUUUCUCGGGGGGGAAGGUGGAGUAGCCUCCAGUGUCUGGGGCCGGGCUCGGGAACCGCACCUCUGCAGAAGAGCACAGCAAGAAGGGAGGGUGCAGAGAUGCUGAGCUGAAGCUGUUCUAGGUCCAAGGUUCCACCAAAUGGCUUAUAAUGCUAACUACGUAUUGCUGGAGGGAGAGGAUUCUAGCAGAGUAGGAUGAAGGUGUUCACACUCCGAUCUCCGACUCCGUGUCUUUUCUCUGGCUGUCCCUCAGGCCUGGAAUUCCUUCCCUCCUUAUCUCAGCUUCCUGACCUUUCAGGCUUCCUUCAAACCCUAGCUAAAUUUGAUCUUCAGUAAAAAAGCUUUUCUCGAUCUCCCUUAACACUAGUGCUUUCCCCCUACUGAUUAUGUCCAAUUUAUCCUUCAUAGAGCUUGUUUGUACAGUUGUUUGCAAGAUAGUGAGUUCCUUCAGGGGGACGACUGUUUUUGCGUUCUUUGUGCGGUGCCUGGCAAAUAGCGGUUUAAUAAAUGCUUGCUGAUUGGCUGAACA